AUCGCUUCUCGGCCUUUUGGCUAAGAUCAAGUGUAGAAAAGGAAUUUUACACUUUAUACCCUUC
rnacentral:snRNA from 1 species